ACAGGAAGCAGCUUGCUGCUUCGCUGACGAGUGGCGGAGGGGUGAGUAAUGUCUGGGAAACUGCCUGAUGGAGGGGGAUAACUACUGGAAACGGUAGCUAAUACCGCAUAACGUCGCAAGACCAAAGAGGGGGACCUUCGGGCCUCUUGCCAUCGGAUGUGCCCAGAUGGGAUUAGCUAGUAGGUGGGGUAACGGCUCACCUAGGCGACGAUCCCUAGCUGGUCUGAGAGGAUGACCAGCCACACUGGAACUGAGACACGGUCCAGACUCCUACGGGAGGCAGCAGUGGGGAAUAUUGCACAAUGGGCGCAAGCCUGAUGCAGCCAUGCCGCGUGUAUGAAGAAGGCCUUCGGGUUGUAAAGUACUUUCAGCGGGGAGGAAGGCGACAGGGUUAAUAACCCUGUCGAUUGACGUUACCCGCA
rnacentral:rRNA from 1 species